UACGUAGGGACCGAGCGUUGUCCGGAUUUAUUGGGCGUAAAGAGCUCGUAGGCGGCUGCUCAAGUCGAAUGUGAAAACUCGAGGCUCAACCUCGAGCCUGCAUUCGAUACUGGGUGGCCAGAGUCUGGUAGGGGGAUCUGGAAUUCCUGGUGUAGCGGUGGAAUGCGCAGAUAUCAGGAGGAACACCGGUGGCGAAGGCGGGAUCCUGGGCCAGUACUGACGCUGAGGAGCGAAAGCGUGGGGAGCAAACAGG
rnacentral:rRNA from 1 species